AUCCCAAAGUGCAGCCGAUCCCAAAGCCGCGGCUGGAACGCCACCAGGAUGCACGGGACACUCCAGCAGCCCAAGGACAAACUGAUUCUCACUUGGGACUCUGUGGUGAGCUGAUGCCCCAGGUUUUGUGCUGGCAGGAGGGAUUCAGCAUUUCUGAGUUGGGGAGUGAUUUCCGACUGGCCAUACGAGGAGGUGAAGUGGUUUCCCUUUCUGUCCUUCCAGGCCUUUGUCAGCCCCUUGCACUCUCCAGCUCUCUGUGUGCAGGGA